UAGCUUUCUAGUUUUUACG
rnacentral:miRNA from 1 species